GGAGGGUGCAAGCGUUGUCCGGAAUCACUGGGUGUAAAGGGUGUGUAGGCGGGGCGGCAAGUCAGAGGUGAAAUCCUACAGCUCAACUGUAGAACUGCCUCUGAUACUGCUGUUCUUGAGUUUCGGAGAGGUCACUAGAAUUCGUGGUGUAGCGGUGAAAUGCGCAGAUAUCACGAGGAAUACCAGAGGCGUAGGCGGGUGACUGGACGAAUACUGACGCUGAGGCACGAAAGCGUGGGGAGCAAACAGGAUUAGAUACCCUGGUAGUCCCACGCCGUAAACGAUGGAUGCUCGGUGUCGCGCCUUUUUUUGGCGCGUUGCCCAAGCUAACGCGUUAAGCAUCCCCACCUGGGGAGUACGCUCGCAAGAGUG
rnacentral:rRNA from 1 species